UCCAUAGUUGUUCUGUGGUGGCGGCGCUCCUCCAUAGUUGUUCUGUGGUGGCGGCGCUCCUGCAUAGUUGUUGGGCGGUGGUGUUCCACCAUAGUUGUUGGGCGGUGGUGUUCCACCAUAGUUGUUGGGCGGUGGUGUUCCACCAUAGUUGUUCUGCGGCAUCCCUCCGAGGUUGUUCUGUGGCAUCCCUCCGAGGUUGUUCUGUGGCAUCCCUCCAAGGUUGUUCUGUGGCAUGCUUCCCAUAUUUGGUGACAUGUUGCUGCUGGAAGGGACGUUGUUAGGGGGCAUGCCACUCAUAUUAGGUGCAGGGUUUGGCAUACCCUGGUUCUGAAAAUUGCGGUUCUGCAUGUUCUCCCUUCUUCUUUCAAAGUUUCUAGAUCUAUCGUAGCUGCGAGGCCUAUCAUUGCGCCUAUUACGCUCAUUAGC
rnacentral:lncRNA from 1 species